rnacentral:rRNA from 1 species
GUGAGUCAUCGAGUCUUUGAACGCACCUUGCGCUCCUUGGUAUUCCUCGGAGCAUGCCUGUUUGAGUAUCAUGAAAUUCUCAAAAUAAAUCUUUUGUUCAUUCAAUUGGUUUCAUUUUGGACUUGGAGGUCUGCAGAUUCACGUCUGCUCCUCUUAAAUUCAUUAGCUGGAUCUCUAUAGACUUGGUUCCACUCGGCGUGAUAAGUAUCACUCGCUGAGGACACUGUAAAAGGUGGCCAGGAUUGUGGAAGAACUGCUUCUAAUAGUCCAUUCACUUGGACAAUAUACUUUAUGAUCUGAUCUCAAAUCAGGUAGGACUACCCGCUGAACUUAA